AGUGAACGCUGGCGGCGUGCCUAAUACAUGCAAGUCGAACGGAAUUUAAGAGAGCUUGCUCUUUUAAAUUUAGUGGCGCACGGGUGAGUAAUAUAUAGCUAAUCUGCCCCUCGCUGGAGGACAACAGUUAGAAAUGACUGCUAAUACUCCAUACUCCUUUUUACCAUAAGAUAAAUCGGGAAAGAAUUUCGGCAAGGGAUGAGACUAUAUCGUAUCAGCUAGUCGGUGGGGUAACGGCCUACCGAGGCUAUGACGCGUAACUGGUCUGAGAGGAUGAUCAGUCACAUUGGAACUGAGACACGGUCCAAACUCCUACGGGAGGCAGCAGUAGGGAAUAUUGCGCAAUGGGGGAAACCCUGACGCAGCAACGCCGCGUGGAGGAUGACACUUUUCGGAGCGUAAACUCCUUUUGUUAGGGAAGAAUAAGGACG
rnacentral:rRNA from 1 species